UAGGGAAUCUUCGGCAAUGGGGGGAACCCUGACCGAGCAACGCCGCGUGAGUGAAGAAGGUUUUCGGAUCGUAAAGCUCUGUUGUUAAGGAAGAACGAGUGUGAGAAUGGAAAGUUCAUGCUGUGACGGUACUUAACCAGAAAGGGACGGCUAACUACGUGCCAGCAGCCGCGGUAAUACGUAGGUCCCGAGCGUUGUCCGGAUUUAUUGGGCGUAAAGCGAGCGCAGGCGGUCAAUUAAGUCUGAUGUGAAAGCCCCCGGCUCAACCGGGGAGGGUCAUUGGAAACUGGUUGACUUGAGUGCAGAAGAGGAGAGUGGAAUUCCAUGUGUAACGGUGAAAUGCGUAGAUAUAUGGAGGAACACCAGUGGCGAAGGCGACUCUCUGGUCUGUAACUGACGCUGAGGCUCGAAAGCGUGGGUAGCAAACAGG
rnacentral:rRNA from 1 species